rnacentral:ncRNA from 1 species
GGCCUCUCAUCGGGGAGCGACUAGCUGAGAUUAGUAAACAUUGGAUAAUGGUUACUUAAACCCGUACUACCUGAAUCAGAUAAUGCUGACGUAGGGAUUGAGAUGACAUUCUCA